ACUCCUACGGGAGGCAGCAGUGGGGAAUAUUGCACAAUGGGCGCAAGCCUGAUGCAGCCAUGCCGCGUGUAUGAAGAAGGCCUUCGGGUUGUAAAGUACUUUCAGCAGUGAGGAAGGUGGGUAUGUUAAUAGCAUAUUCAUUUGACGUUAGCUGCAGAAGAAGCACCGGCUAACUCCGUGCCAGCAGCCGCGGUAAUACGGAGGGUGCGAGCGUUAAUCGGAAUUACUGGGCGUAAAGCGCAUGCAGGUGGUUUGUUAAGUCAGAUGUGAAAGCCCGGGGCUCAACCUCGGAAUUGCAUUUGAAACUGGCAAACUAGAGUACUGUAGAGGGGGGUAGAAUUUCAGGUGUAGCGGUGAAAUGCGUAGAGAUCUGAAGGAAUACCGGUGGCGAAGGCGGCCCCCUGGACAGAUACUGACACUCAGAUGCGAAAGCGUGGGGAGCAAACAGGAUUAGAUACCCUGGUAGCUCUGC
rnacentral:rRNA from 1 species